CGAACUCAAUCAAACUCCGAAUGUUAUCAAAUAAAAUCAGCAGUCAGACUGUGGGUGAUAAGGUCCAUGGUCAAAAGGGAAAGAGCCCAGACCGUCAGCUAAGGUCCCCAAAUUGAUGUUAAGUGGCAAAGGAAGUGAAGACGUUUAAACAACUAGGAGGUUGGCUUAGAAGCAGCCAUCCUUUAAAGAGUGCGUAAUAGCUCACUAGUCGAAUGACUCUGCGCCGAAAAUGUACCGGGGCUAAAACAUCAUACCGAAGCUACGGAUUAAAAUAACUUUCGAGUUAUUUAAAUGGUAGGGGAAGCGUUCUGACAUCAGUGAAGCCAUAGUGGAAGCAGUGGUGGAGAGGUCAGAAGUGAGAAUGCCGGUGUAAGUAACGAAAAGAUAGGUGAGAAUCCUAUCCGUCAAAAACCCAAGGUUUCCAGGGCCAGGUUCGUCCUCCCCGGGUUAGUCGGGUCCUAAGGUGAGAAAGAAAUUUGUAGCCGAUGGCAAGCAGGCUGAGAUUCCUGCACUAGUUAAUCAACUGAUGGAGGGACAAAGUAGGCUAGACACACCCCUUAUUGGAUUGGGGUAGAAAAACUAAGUCUGAGAAGAUAGGCAAAUCCGUUUUCUUGUUUAAAGAUAAGGUUUGAAAGUAAAGUGAUUGACGUCAGACUUUCAAGAAAAGCUUCUAGGGCUAAUUGAUUAACUACCC
rnacentral:rRNA from 1 species